rnacentral:rRNA from 1 species
AGCGCGAACAUACCUUCGGGGAACUCGAGCGGCGAGCGGGUGAGUAACACGUGAGGAACCUGCCCUGGACUUUGGGAUAACCCUCGGAAACGGGGGCUAAUACCGAAUAUGACUACUGAUCGCAUGGUUGUUGGCGGAAAGUUUUUCGGUCUGUGAUGGUCUCGCGGCCUAUCAGCUUGUUGGUGGGGUAAUGGCCUACCAAGGCGACGACGGGUAGCCGGCCUGAGAAAGAUUGGCCGACCAGGCACGACACUGGGAACUCGAGACACGGCCCAGACUCCUGACGGGAGGUCAGCAGUGGGGAAUAUUGCUACAAUUGGGCAGGAAGCCCUGAAUGCAGGCUGACGCCGCGUCGAGGGAUUGAACGGUCCUUCUGGGUUUGUAAACCUACUUUCAGCAGGGUACGUAAGACGCGAGUGCGACUGAUACGCUGCAGUAAAGAAGGGCAACGGAUCAACUACGUGACUAGCAGCACGCGUCRGUUASACGUACGGCGCGAGCGAUUGUCCGGAUUUAAUUGGGCGUAAAGAGCUCGUAGGCGGCUUGUCGCGUCGACUGUGAAAAACCCGCGGCUCAACCGCGGAUCCUGCAGCCGAUACGGGCAGCCUAGAGUUCGGUAUGGGAGACUGGAAUUCCUGAUGUAGCGGUGAAAUGCGCAGAUAUCAGGAGGAACACCGGUGGCGAAGGCGGAUCUCUGAGCUCGAUACUGACGCUGAGGAGCGAAAGCGUGGCGGAGCGAACAGGAUUAGAUACCCUGGUAGUUCACGCUGUAAACGUUGGGCGCUAGGUGUGGGGGACCUCUUCGGUUCUCUGUGACGCAACUAACGCAUUAACCGACCCCCCCUGGGGGAAUUCGGACCGCCAAGGCUAAAACUCAACAGGAAGUUGACGAGCGGGACCGCACAAGCGGCGGAGCAUGCUCGGAUUUAAUUUCGAUUGACAACCCGUAAGAAUCCUUAAUCCUGGGCGUUUGAACAUCGACCGGAACAACUCGUAGGAGAUACGAGGGUUCCUUCGGGAUGCAGGUCGACAGGUCGGUGCAGUGAUCUGUCGUCAGCUCGUGUCAGUGGAGUAUGGCUUGCGGUUAAGUCUCACGGGAAGCGAGCUGCAGACCCUCGCUUCGAUGUUUUCAGCCGGCGCUUAUGCCGUGGGACUCUAUCCGUACAGAGCUGCCGGGGUCAACUUCGGACGGAAGGGUGGCGGACUCAGCAGUUGCAAGGUCAUGCGAGUGAGUCCCACGUUAUGUUCAGGGCUUCACCCAUCCUCCAAUGAUCGGUGCAAAGGGUUGCGAUCCCGUGAGGUGGAGCGAAUCCCAAAAAAACGGUCUCAGUACGGAUCGGGGUCUUCAACUCGACCCCGUGAAGUCGGAGUCGCUAGUAAUCGCAGAUCAGCAACGUUGCGGUGAAUACGUUCUCGGGCCUUGUACACACCGCCCGUCACGUCACGAAAGACGGCAACACCCGAAGACCAUGACCUAACCCGCAAGGAGGAGUGUC